GACGAACGCUGGCGGCGUGCUUAACACAUGCAAGUCGAACGGAAAGGCCCUGCUUUUGUGGGGUGCUCGAGUGGCGAACGGGUGAGUAACACGUGAGUAACCUGCCCUUGACUUUGGGAUAACUUCAGGAAACUGGGGCUAAUACCGGAUAGGAGCUCCUGCUGCAUGGUGGGGGUUGGAAAGUUUCGGCGGUUGGGGAUGGACUCGCGGCUUAUCAGCUUGUUGGUGGGGUAGUGGCUUACCAAGGCUUUGACGGGUAGCCGGCCUGAGAGGGUGACCGGCCACAAUGGGACUAAGAGACGGCCCAGAAUCCUACGGGAGGCAGCAGGGGGGAAUAUGGCACAAUGGGCGGAAGCCUGAUGCAGAAACGCCGCGUGCGGGAUGACGGCUUUCGGGUUGUAAACCGCUUUCGCCGGUGACGAAGAGUGAGUGACGGUAAUGGGUAAAGAAGCAACGGCUAACUACGUG
rnacentral:rRNA from 1 species